rnacentral:tRNA from 2 species
CGGGCUGUAGCGUAGCUGGCUAGCGCGCAUGCAUGGGGUGCAUGAGGUCGCGGGUUCGAAUCCCGCCAGCCCGACCU